rnacentral:misc_RNA from 1 species
UUAAGUUCAGCGGGUAUCCCUACCUGAUCCGAGGUCAACCUUUGAUAAAAUUUGGGGUUAUGGCAGGCACGCAGCCGGUCAUCCAAAGCGAGAAAAAUUACUACGCUUGAAGCCGAAUGGCACCGCCACUGAUUUUAGAGCCCGCCUUUUCAGGUGAAGCUUAAUACCAAGCAGAGCUUGAGGGUUGUAAUGACGCUCGA